UACGUAGGGGGCAAGCGUUGUCCGGAUUUACUGGGCGUAAAGCGUGCGUAGGCGGAAGUUUAAGUGUGGCCUGAAAGCCCCCGGCUCAACCGGGGAGGGUGGCUGCAAACUGGGCUUCUUGAGGGGGAUAGAGGAGAGUGGAAUUCCGGGUGUAGCGGUGAAAUGCGUAGAUAUCGAGAGGAACACCAGUGGCGAAGGCGAGUCCCUGGACAGAUCCUGACGCUGAGGCACGAAAGCUAGGGGAGCAAACAGG
rnacentral:rRNA from 1 species